rnacentral:rRNA from 1 species
GACGAACGCUGGCGGCGUGCUUAACACAUGCAAGUCGAACGGAAAGGCCCUGCUUUUGUGGGGUGCUCGAGUGGCGAACGGGUGAGUAACACGUGAGUAACCUGCCCUUGACUUUGGGAUAACUUCAGGAAACUGGGGCUAAUACCGGAUAGGAGCUCCUGCUGCAUGGUGGUGGUUGGAAAGUUUCGGCGGUUGGGGAUGGACUCGCGGCUUAUCAGCUUGUUGGUGGGGUAGUGGCCUACCAAGGCUUUGACGGGUAGCCGGUCUGAGAGGGUGACCGGCCACACGAGGACUGAGACACGGACAAGACGCCUACGGGACGCAGCAGUCGGGAACUUUGGACAACGGGGGCAAACCUGAUCCAGCAGUGCCGCGUGUGAGAAGGAGGCGUUCGGGUUGUAAAGCACUUUUGUCCGGAGAGAAAUGGCGUUGGUUAAUACCAAGCGUGGAUGACGGUACCGGAAGAAUAAGCACCGGCUAACUACGUG